UUCCAGUGAUGACUUUUAUUUUUGUGUCUGGGCCACUGAUUUAUGGAUGGGAUGAAGAACCGAGGAG